GCCAGGCAUGGUGGUGCAUGCCUGUAAUCCCAGCUACUUAGGAGGCUGAGGCAGGAGAAUUGCUUGAACCCAGGAGGCGGAGGUUGCAGUGAGCUGAGAUAGCGCCACUGCACUCCAGCCUGGGCAACAGAGUGAGACUCCGUCUCAA
ensembl:misc_RNA Metazoa_SRP Metazoan signal recognition particle RNA